UACAGAGUGCUCAAGCGUUUGUUCGGAUUCAUUGGGCGUAAAGGGUGUGUAGGUGGCGCGCUAAGUCGGGUGUGAAAUUUCGGGAGCUUAACUCCGAAACUGCAUUCGAUACUGGCGUGCUUGAGGACUGGAGAGGAGACUGGAAUUCAUGGUGUAGCAGUGAAAUGCGUAGAGAUCAUGAGGAAGACCAGUGGCGAAGGCGGGUCUCUGGACAGUUCCUGACACUGAGACACGAAGGCCAGGGGAGCAAACGGG
rnacentral:rRNA from 1 species